GACGAACGCUGGCGGCGUGCUUAACACAUGCAAGUCGAACGGAAAGGCCCUGCUUUUGUGUGGUGCUCGAGUGGCGAACGGGUGAGUAACACGUGAGUAACCUGCCCUUGACUUUGGGAUAACUUCAGGAAACUGGGGCUAAUACCGGAUAGGAGCUCCUGCUGCAUGGUGGGGGUUGGAAAGUUUCGGCGGUUGGGGAUGGACUCGCGGCUGAUCAGCUUGUUGGUGGGGUAGUGGCUUACCAAGGCUUUGACGGGUAGCCGGCCUGAGAGGGUGACCGGCCACAUUGGGACUGAGAUACGGCCCAGACUCCUACGGGAGGCAGCAGUGGGGAAUAUUGCACAAUGGGCGGAAGCCUGAUGCAGCAACGCCGCGUGCGGGAUGACGGCCUUCGGGUUGUAAACCGCUUUCGCCUGUGACGAAGCGUGAGUGACGGUAAUGGGUAAAGAAGCACCGGCUAACUACGUG
rnacentral:rRNA from 1 species